UGAAAUACUAUACAACAAUUAUUGUGGCAAUAAUUGAAUAAAACUGAGUGACUUCUCAUUAGACCUGGCAAACAGGCCGGGCUAGCCCAAACGGGCCAGGCCAAAAUGGCCCAAGUUUUGGUGGGAUAGAAUUAAGUGGCCCGUGGCCCGAGUUGGGCCAGGCCGGCCCAGCCCGCGGACUUUUUCUAAUUUUUUUUAAAAAAAAUUCUGUAAAUCAACCAGCUCAAACCUCAGUAUUGAUAAACAUAUAAAGAAUAAUUGGUUCAACUUAAUAUAUUCCUCACUGUAAAUGUUGAAAUAGAUAGAUUAACGAUAACACAGCUAAAGAAAAUGACACUGUUGUUUUCUCUAAAUGACAUUCCUCACUGCAUGACAUUCCUCAGUCCUCACUGCAUCUGCUCUGUAAAAUAAGCUCCAAAUACAUGCUUGCAAUCCCAUCUUCUCCGUCCAAGAAUGGCAUGACAUCCUGUGCAGAAAGAUUCAUAAAUGUGUACGCAGUAGUUGCAUUGCAUAAAUGAACAAUAGUGGCCUUCAUUGUAUACAGUAUAUUCCUUCCCAAAAAUUAGUAUAUAUUUACACAUUUUUUUCUUGAAUUCUGAUAAUGAAUACUUUACUUAGAACAAACAAAUAAAGGAAACCUUUUUUGCCAUCUUGCAGUUUACUUAGAACAACCAAAUUGGAUUUAUCUUGCAGUUUGUGACUGUACACAAGAUAACCUUUUCUUAGUACUUGAAAAAUCAAACAAAAAUCAAUGAAAUAGUUCAUAAAAAAUGAAGAAUCAAACCUUGAAGAAAAGGAUCAUUAGGGUGUUGGAAAAUGCAUGAAACAUUGUUCUGAAUCAGAAAACAAAAAAACAUCAAGAUGCCACCUGCAAACUUAAGGAAUUAGAGAGGCUAAAACUUAUGCAAGACAUGGGACACGCUGAAUAUCAUAUACAUAUAACAAUAUAUGUUCAACCCAAAUUAAAUUAAUCCCCAUAUCAUCAUUCAUUCAUACUCAACUGUCCACCCUUAAAUCUAAAAUUAGCAGAAAUUAAGUAGCAUCUAGUUCACUAUUUACUUUAAAUGAUUAAAUUGUUUUAAUUUAUAUAAAAAGUAAAAAUAUGUAUGGAACAUAAUUUCCUUAAAGUAGAUGGUAUAUAUACUUUAUAACAUAUUAUUAGGUUAAUUAAAUUCCAUUUGAACCUCUGUAGUUCAAGGGAUAACCAAACACUACCCAUACGAACAAAUUCCGGCAUUAAACAGAAACUCACAAAUGGUCAUAGAAAGAGGAAAAAAAGCUCUAAACAAAUCAUCAAUUUCGGAACUAGCAAUAGCGUACAUGAAUGUAUAUAUUUAUAUUCAGAAUGUGGUUCAGAGAAUCGUCAAAAAUGAUAUUAGAAAGGGAAAAGAAAAGAUACAAAUGGUUAGACCCAAGUUUCGAUAGUUAGUCUUUGCCCAAUUUCCUUCUCAUUCUUCUUCUUCCCCAUUUCUACGACUUUACUGUGUCCUUGGGUACUAAUUGAACAUACUCGACAAACAUGUGUUUUUGGUAUUUAUAGUCUUUUCUCGCAUAACAUAAACCGGAUUUUUCAAAAAAUUAUAGAAAUAGUACUCCCAGAUUCAAAAAAAGUAGAAAAUUACCCAGAUUCCAGAGAGAAAUUGGUCUCACAGAAUGAGGAUUUGGAUUCGGGAUGAAGAGAAGAAGCUACACAGUCGGCGUGGUCGAUCGAUCGAAAGUUUGGAUUUCCCAGCCGGCAGUCGUCGUUGUCUCGCUGUCUCAUACUCUCAUUUUCAGAUCUAGAUCUAAAAAAAGUCCCUUUUAAUUUAUUAUGCCUUAGCCAAGUCGAUUAGACCCCUUAGGGAGAUUACAUAGCCAGAUUACAGAUAAUGAUUUUUU
rnacentral:lncRNA from 1 species